UACGAAGGGGGCUAGCGUUGCUCGGAUUGACUGGGCGUAAAGGGCGCGUAGGCGGUUUGUACAGUCAGACGUGAAAUUCCUGGGCUCAACCUGGGGGCUGCGUUUGAUACGUGCAGACUUGAGUUCGGAAGAGGGUCGUGGAAUUCCCAGUGUAGAGGUGAAAUUCGUAGAUAUUGGGAAGAACACCGGUGGCGAAGGCGGCUUACUGGUCCGGAACUGACGCUGAGGUGCGAAAGCGUGGGGAGCAAACAGG
rnacentral:rRNA from 1 species